rnacentral:rRNA from 1 species
UACAGAGGUGGCAAGCGUUGUUCGGAAUUACUGGGCGUAAAGGGCGCGUAGGCGGUCUUCUAAGUCUUGUGUGAAAUCCCUCGGCUCAACUGAGGAACUGCACGGGAUACUGGAAGACUUGAGUUCGGGAGAGGGAAGCGGAAUUCCGGGUGUAGCGGUGAAAUGCGUAGAUAUACGGAGGAACACCUGCGGCGAAGGCGGGUAGCUGGGCCAACACUGACGCUGAGACGCGAAAGCUAGGGGAGCAAACGGG